rnacentral:rRNA from 1 species
GAUGAACGCUGGCGGCGUGCCUAAUACAUGCAAGUCGAGCGAACAGAUGAGGAGCUUGCUCCUCUGACGUUAGCGGCGGACGGGUGAGUAACACGUGGAUAACCUACCUAUAAGACUGGGAUAACUUCGGGAAACCGGAGCUAAUACCGGAUAAUAUAUUGAACCGCAUGGUUCAAUAGUGAAAGACGGUUUUGCUGUCACUUAUAGAUGGAUCCGCGCCGCAUUAGCUAGUUGGUAAGGUAACGGCUUACCAAGGCGACGAUGCGUAGCCGACCUGAGAGGGUGAUCGGCCACACGGGAGCUGAGACACGGUCAAGACUCCUACGGGAGGCAGCAGUAGGGAAUCUUACGCAAUGGGCGAAAGCCUGACGGAGCAACGCCGCGUGAGUGAUGAAGGUCUUCGGAUCGUAAAACUCUGUUAUUAGGGAAGAACAAAUGUGUAAGUAACUAUGCACGUCUUGACGGUACCUAAUCAGAAAGCCACGGCUAACUACGUG